AUCUUCCUGAUUUUCCGCUUUCCUUCUCAAGCUGCAAACGUCACUCUACCUAAAGUCAAGAUCCUUCCACCCUCUCCAAAAGAAAUCUGUUCCCAGGACAAGAUAAAUGAUAAACGGUCAACUUUAGUGUGUGUGGCCUCAGGCUUUUAUCCCGACCAUGUGAGUGUGUCCUGGAAAGUGAAUGGCGUAGCGAGACAGGACAGUGUAUCAACUGACACCUCAGCCCAACAGGACAAGACAACAUUAAUGUACCAUAUCAGCAGCAGAAUAAAAGUUAAUGACACGGACUGGAUGGAUCUUAAGAGUAGCUUCGCCUGUACCGUCCAGUUCUUCAACGGAGAUGAAUAUGUCAAUGUCACAAACACCAUAAACGGUCAAAAAGUGAAGCCGAAAGGAUUGAAACUGCUUGGCUUUGGCUACAUCCUAUUCCUCAGCAAAAGCCUGCUGUAUGCGCUGGUUGUGGCUGGUGUGGUGUGCAAACUAAAGUUCUCAGCGAAGAAGAAACAAUUAGCAGAAGACUGAGAUGCGUUGAAAAUUUGUGACUUUAGGCCAGAAGUGACUUUCUCUGUUAUUUACAAGUUGUGUAAAAUAUCUGUGUAUUG